ACUGGCACUGACUCUGCUUCCAAACGAGGCCGCUCUGUGUCACCCGGGGUAGGACUUCAGCACAGGAGGUCGAGGGGCUGCGGUCCAGCCCUGAGUGGAGCAGGCCGGCUGCAGUCGAGAGGGGAUGCAGCACCCAGGC
ensembl:miRNA